rnacentral:rRNA from 1 species
UACGUAGGGGGCUAGCGUUGUCCGGAUUUAUUGGGCGUAAAGAGCGUGUAGGCGGCCAGCUAGGUCUGCUGUGAAAACUCGAGGCUCAACCUCGAGAUGUCGGCGGAAACCAUCUGGCUAGAGUCCGGAAGAGGAGAGUGGAAUUCCCGGUGUAGCGGUGAAAUGCGCAGAUAUCGGGAAGAACACCCGUGGCGAAGGCGGCUCUCUGGGACGGUACUGACGCUGAGACGCGAAAGCGUGGGGAGCGAACAGG